CCCCUAGCUAGCGUCUCAUCCCCUCCACGACUCCACAAGACCGCUGGUGCUCACGAUCCCAAACGGCGGCGCCUCCUCCAGCUCCAGGUCUCUGCAUCGAGUAGCUUGGAACGCAUCCCUGCCCUGGAUGCUCGCCUAUCUCGCGCGGCAUCAGGCGAGCCCUAGUGUUGUCGCCAUGCCCACCCGCGCGGCCAGGGAACCAGUUCGGGCAACCGCCCAGCCAUCUCCGUGACGGCAACAAGGCUAGGCAACGGCCACUCCUCCGGCAACCAAGCCCUCUACCAGACUACCACUUUGCCCACCAGGUACCUCUGUACCUCUCCCUCCCCGGUUUCGCCACCGCUAUCUGGUAUGUGGAGGUGUGAACUCUUAAUCGACAAAUUUUCGAGGUGUGACAUCGGGUUUUUGUGCUGGUUGGGCGGACGAUGUGCAAUUCUGUGCACAACAUAGGCUGCUGGGCACUCAAGAUUCUCGUGGUGGCCGUCAUGGUAUUCUUCGAUAGCAAGUAGCAACAACACUGGCCUGCCUAGGCAGUCACAGACGCAGUAGCACGUGAAAUUCGAGGUGUAUGUGUGCGACUGCAUCAAAAUCCAUGCCUGAUGGCUGAUUCCUCCUUUAUAAUUUGGAUUCACCUGUCCUUUCAAUGCAGAGGAUAUAUGCAUGGGAGGUUUCUUUCAGAUCGCACAACAUAUACGUCUGAUGUUGUUCAGUUUAAACUGAUCCACCAUUUUAGUUUGACCUCUGAAAAAUACAUGCUAUGCAAUCUAUAUAAAUUAUUAGCUGCAACCAGAUGUUUGAAAGAAUGACUUAGAAACUUAUUCAUUUUCUUCUUAUUCAUUAGGAAGCAAAUUAAUUAUAAUAUCUGAACCAUAGCGUGUGAAUAUCUAAUAUUAUUAUGCAUUUGGUAAGCCACUUGGAGUAGUUCUUUCAUUUUCUUCUGCAUGAUCCAUUUUACAUACUUAUCAUAUAACCCUGCUCAAUUCUCUCUGAAAGUUUAUUCACACACUGUUACAUCAUUAAUUUCCAUGAUAUCUAGCUUUCUCGGAGUGUAUGAUAUGUACAGCAUUGCAAAUUCAGGGCGUGCAAUCUUGUGGCAAUUAAUUAUGUUUAUGUUUGAUCAAAUAAAAAGCAUCACAAACUAAGGAAUCUUUGAUAUAACUGUGAUGGUGUUCUAUAUUUUUCAUUAGAAAAAGAUUACCAAAGCAAUGGAGAAAGAAGAAGUCACAUGAUCCACGCUAUUGUAAGGCCAUAUAAGGCUAGGGUGUGAUUGGGCACAUAGUGCAAGGCCUGGUCCUUGUCGUGCAUUAUAAUAUCUCGGGCUGGAUAUAUCACUUGUGAAAUCACCAAAAAUUAGCAAUCCAAGGUCGUUACAUAUGGGUAAACUGUAAUGGACAUCAGUAUCUGAGUGUGGAGCUUCAUUACCUGCUUGGCUGGUAAUACUUCUGUGCAUGUCUUCUGCACAAUCAUAUGUUUGUACAUUUGAAAUCCUUUCAGGUUGAAUAGACAACAGAGUAGCAAGCCAGAAAUAGCAAUGAUAGUGGCGGACGCUGUCAUCCUGGAACAUGCCACUGGACAGUACCUAUGAUAUCUCUUAUUUGUUUUACUAUUGAUUUAGUUAAUGUGCCAUUAGCAUUAUUUAAUUGGAGGCAAAGGAGAAAUAUUAUGUUUGAAAACUGAUAGUCUAAUAAUAUUUAUCCAACUUGUUGUAUUAAUUGAUUAUAAACCAUCAUAUAUUUCAGACUGAGAUCUCGCCUUGAAAUUUUAUUGUACUCCUAAACUUUCAUUGUUUAGGUGGCACAAGUAAUAGUGAACAACGUGUCUCUGGAAAAAAAACUUAUAAAUCAUCCUUUUGGAUGUUUGCUUUCUCUUAGGUCUUUAUGUGGCCACGGGUGAUGAUUACCAUGUCUACGCACUUUUCCUAGAUACACUUCACUUUCCUCAAUGUUCUUAAGUUCUCCUUGCUAGGAGCUUGCAUGCUCUGCUCAGGAACAGUUAUUUUGAUUUCACUUGUACAUAUCGUUCAAGACAGGUAUACUUACUCGGCUAUUAAUUUUAUUCUCUUUGUGCAAAACGUUUAUUCGGGCAACAAGGGGGUGAAACUAAAAAUGCAAAAGAGAGUUUGAUUGCUUAUCAAGUAUAGUAUCCCUCAUUAAUGAUUAUGUUUUCCCUAUAUCCCUUUCUGUUUGUUGUUGCCUAUGUAUCUAUACCAAGGAAAUUUGCUGAGCUGUAGCAGGUUUAUUUUUAGUUCCCCUUGCAUGCAGACCAUCCUAAUCGGUAAGUAUGAUAGAAUGCAUCAACACAUAAUUGCUAUUUUUUACAGAUUUGCCACGAUAUCUCAUAUGUUGCAUUCUAUUCUUUGUUUUGGUAUUUAGAAUAAAUUUAUCUAGAUUGAUUAAGCUUCACAUAACUGGAACAAUGAUAUGGUGGUAUCACUUUUCAUUUGAAUGAAUACACAAUUGCGUUGUUUUAUUUAGUUCCUUCUUUGAUUGUUAUCUAUUUUUUUUCCUUCUAUAGCAGUUGUUGAUGUGCAUUAAGGGAUAAGCCAAUUCCUUCUAUCAAUUCAUCAUGGUAUUGCUCCUCAACUGGUUAUUCUAAAUUAGUGGCCAGUUCUUUAGUUGUGAUUUUGCAAUGCAUUUAUAAUUGCUGUAUUCUAUUGUGAUUCUCUAGGAUCUUUUCUGGUAAAUUUACUUGGUCAAUUCCAUUGUAGACUUAUAAGAACAUUUCAGGUUUCGGGGACUGCAUCUUCAAUAUAGUUACAAAACUUUAGAAAGUCCUUUAAAGGAUGUUCCCUUUCUGUAAUAAAACUUGAGUUUGUAUAACAAGUUGGUAUGAUAUUACAAAACUAGCAAUCUGGGACUAUUCAUGAUUUACAUCUCAAAGAAAGAAAUGAAGUGAAAUAGCGAGUUUGUUGAUGUAAAAAAAUGAAUAUCGAUCUGUUUGUAUAUAUGUUAUUUUCUUGCUUCAUAUUGUUUUGUCAA